rnacentral:rRNA from 1 species
UACGUAGGGGGCAAGCGUUGUCCGGAAUCACUGGGCGUAAAGCGCGCGCAGGCGGCGAUCUACGUCCGGGGUGAAAGCCCAGAGCUCAACUCUGGGACUGCCUUGGAUACGGGAUCGCUUGAGGAUCGGAGAGGCAAGGGGAAUUCCUGGUGUAGCGGUGAAAUGCGCAGAUAUCAGGAGGAACACCAAUUGCGAAGGCAGCUCGCUGGGACGUUACUGACGCUGAGACGCGAAAGCGUGGGGAGCAAACAGG